ACUAACCUCUGCCCUAGUAGAAGCCAAAUAAAAACAACAGCUUGAAUGACGGCCCCACCAGAUACUAAGAAAGUGAUUGAUGGAAGACCAGAUGUAAGACGGCCAGCAAUCAAUGAGCAAUAGAAAGACCAAAAAAGGAAAAUAAUUAACACUCAAAUCUCACUUUUUUCUAUUAUCACUAGCUCCGAUUAAAGACAAAUACCAUUUUAAUCUACCUCUGCAAGUGCGAGCAUAAUGAAUAUUUCUAAUAGGCAUGGCAUAACAAUGAACACUAUAUUUACAAUUUGUUGGGAAAGUUGAGCAUUAUAUUAGUUCGUGAAUUAGGACUCUCGAGAUAUAUUUUGGUUUGUGAAGGGAGAGUCCAAUGCCUCAAAACACUUAAAAUUUUGUGGUUCAUCUUAAUUCAAUAGGGUUUGGUUUGGUUUAGAGUUCUUAUUGGCUAGUUGAAUGGAAAACCGAGGGAAACAAUAGGAAAUAAGUAGGCAUACUUACAACUGCAUCAGCAGCCCCAUAAACUGCCAUUGCACCACCGACCCCUGACACACCAAGUGAUGGUGUGACAACUUCUUUUGUGAACUUGGCCCUAUGUUUGAAACUCUAUAAUGCUCAGUAAGGAAAAACAUAGGCUACUGCAACAAAAGAGCAUGCAAUACUUCUACUUUAUUCCAGUAAUUACCAUACAAAUGCCGCUUGUAGUCCUGAAUAUGAAAUUAGAGGAAUGGUCAAAAUCAUUCUUAUGUCAGCCAGUGGAGCAACUACUGAUUUUGAUAGAGAAAAUAUAGAAGAACGUAGGCUGGACGAGGACAGUGAUGGUUCUUCUUCUUUACUGUCUUCCUUUCUUAAGAACCCCAUGAGUAAGAUACCUAACGUCACAACGCAAAGGAAGAUAAUGAACAAUACAGUUGUGCCAUUGGUACUUCCACCCUGCAGCAGUUAUGAGGCAAAGAAACAGGAUUCAAUCUAGAGAUGUUAUUAGUGUAGACUAUUGAAAGAAGAAAUGUGGUCAAAGCUGAAACAGAAUUGCAUGACUCGGAAAUUGCCUGCUUCAACAACGUUACGGUUGUUUCCAAUGUGACUGAACAUCCAAACUUUAAAAUGAAACUCUUUAAGAGAGUAAUUAAGUGGAGACUACAUACCGCUUCAUCUUUCAGCACAACGAGGGAGAUAAUAUUUCCAAUGACCUGCAAUAUUUAAAUCACAUAAGAAAGGUAUGAACCUUACUGUUAAGUUUAAGUAUUUGUUUUCCAGAUAACAUUUCUAGAUGAACCAAAGUUUGUAAACUUGAAAUCCAUGAAUUCACCUGGUGACUUGCAAAUACUGCCCAAAAUUCUCCAUUGAAGUUGCCGAUGACAGUUCCUUCAUGUAAGCCAUUCUUUCUUGCAUGAUUACGUGCAGUUGAAGUGAGAUAUGUACCCUGAGCAUUCAUUACAUGGCAAACACCAAGAUGUUUUCACUCUACAGUUAUAGUGAUUAUCCAUUACCAUAUACUCCAAAAAUAUUUACUACAUUUCACCUGCGCAACCCAAAUUAUAGAAGCAGCAAAACCAAGGUAGACAGAAGACGGAACCAUUGUAAACCUGAAAAGAAGUGAUCAGAAAAUCAUCUCCACUUUUGCAAUCACCUAAACAUUGAGUUGCAGUGUAUUGUAAAGUUCAAGACAGUAUAACACUACUGACCUAAUUAAAAAUGACAUAAACAUUCAAUCUGAAGAAUUUUUAAAAAUACUUGUUAAAUCACCCAUUGAUCAAAAGUUUAAAUUGAUGCAUGAAAGUCUAUAUUAAUUGGAGAGGAAAUAACUGUCAGAUAUCAUGUUAAAUUAUUGAUUGAUCCAAAAGCUUAAGUUUAAAUUUACAUAAUCUAUCAGUAACAGUACUCUUUCGAACACUAUUAAACACAGCCAGUGAUUGCUGAAGAACUGGCAUACAGUCUAACUUUUAUUAAUUCGUGUCUGCAAAACGCUUUGAGUAAUUCGCAUUGCCAGAAUCAGCUCGAUUACACUUUGUCUUGUCAAACUCCCUUCAUUGUAUUUUCAAAGCAGACCAUCAAAAUCAGUAAAAAAAAAUACCAAGUCGGCUUCAAAUUUGCAGCUAUGAACAACCAAUAACCAGUAGUCCCAAGAAUCAAAGCGUUCUUAGUCCCCAAUGCUCGAACCACCAAAGCAGCCACCAGAGAGAAAAACGUAAAAGAUAAAUACAAUAUCCCCAGCGAAGUAGUCCCCAAAUCCUCCUCCUGAAUCAAAAUUCCACAGCCCAAAGUCAAACCUAAAGACGAUAAUAUCAAUUAACCACAAAAAAAAAAAAAAAAAAAAAAAACCCAUCAAAUACAGAAUCCAAAUUUUCCUCUAAGAGGCACAAAUUAAGGUUCCUCCUCCAUUUCUUCAACAUCAUCCAGAAACACCUAGAGAAUAGUGAAAAGAACCAAAAACUUACAGUAUUAACAGUACUCUCCAAGUUCUGGGCAGCUCCAUAAGCAAGGAAAAUUAACCAAAAAGCAAAGCUCAAAACAUGAACAUCUCUCGUAUAAUUCACCGGAGCUGAAAUUGGGGCGUUAUUAACUAACAACCGCGCCUCUUCGUCAACAGAAUCCAUGGCGUGUCGGCUUUUCAAGCCGAUUUAGUCGUAGAAACGCUUAAAAAGGCGGAAAGAGAAAAACCCAAAUGGAGUGAAGUCAGAGGUGAAGAAUCGUCGGCUGAAAGUGAAGACAGUCAAAACUCAAAAGGGUUAAUAAUUCGAUUAACUUAAAGGUGGAUCGAGCUCGAAAUUUUGUAUUUGUUUGAUGCGAAAAAGGAAUAAGAGCUGACCAAUUACGAAUUUAUGUACGCCCCAUCUAAGGAAACAUUUUCCACAUUUUCGCAAUCGCUCGUCGCCCCAAGGUGUGGCGUUGGUGUCCUUAUCCAAGUUCUUAACUUAACCAACGGUAUCUGCUUCGAACUCUGUGCGAUUCGGAAUCUUCUCAAAUUAUAACACUUUUUAAGUUCUAUCACUAUACUCUCAGCUUCCAAAAAUAGCUUCUACAUUAAUUGCGUUAUUUUAUUAGUGAAAAAAUGUUUCUUUUUUUUUUCUAAACUUUGGGUGUACGUGAAUUUAAAUGUUAAACUUACAGGUAAAUAUAUUAAUUAAUACCUCUAUCACAUUUCACUUAUGUUAUAUAUUAGUUUAUACCUCCUAUUAAAAUAGGUUUCAUUUGAAAAAACAUUAUGCCAAAAAUAGGAUUAUUUCUAUUAAAUCUAUAAUUUUUCAUGAAUAAAUCAAUCUAAGUUUUUAGAUAAACUUUUUGUUAGAAUUCAUUCAUUUGUUUGAAAAUUAAUCAGUGUCCAAAUUUAUUGGUUGUAUGAGAAUUUAGUUCUGAAAUUAGAAGUUUGCAAAGUUUAAGUGUAGGGGUAUAUUUUAAUAUUUAUCCAAUCUUUUAUUAUAUGGUUCUUUCAUACUAGUCAAUAAAUUGAGGUCAGAAAAAGUAUCCAAACUACUAAAUGCUACAAAAUUUUCUCACCAUGGUACAAAAAUUUGAGUGUUCGAUCUGUUAAAGCUAAAAUAGUGGACAGAUGGUGUUUGCGUGAGUAUUCCAUUCAUAAUGUUUUGCUAAUUAUGAUCUGCAAUCUAUUACCUAAAUAUAUACGGUUUCUAUUUCCAACUUUUCAUGAUAUGAGAAUGGUAUUUCUUUAGAAAUCAAGUGUAUAUAUGAUCCUUAGUAGAUUCGAGCUAGAAUGUUUGAAACAAACCAACAAUCCACAAGUCGAGCUCUUAAGAGAUGUUGAGAACCAAAUAUGAAUUUGGUUAUAUUUACCAUUUGUUUGCAUUUUGUUAUAUCUACUAAUAUUACUUGAUGAUGGUUAUGUUUGCAGCAGUUCCGAUUAAAAAAAUGGUAAGAUUGAAAUAUGGCUCAUGAUGAACAAAAGCUAAAAGUCGCAUUCAAUUUUCCAAUUUGUAUGGAAGAGAUGCAUAUUACACAAAAGAUUGGUUGGCAAAGGAAAUGAACAGUUUAGAAAGAAAUCAAUUGGCGAAAGGGAAGAUUUCUUUCGCAGCAAUAACAUGAAUGUAGAAACACAUAUAUCCGUCUCUACACAUUAUAAUCUUGAGAAUGAUUUCUCUACCCAAACGGUUAAAGUCAGAAAAGCAACAUAUGAGAGGCAAAGAACUGAGAGUAUAAUCACCAGCAUUGUGUGCAUUGAAAUGUAUGGACUGAAAAAGAAGACGAUCGAAAUAGUCGCGCUCUGCCAGACCUUUAAUUGGGCAAACGCUCCUUCCUAUAAACCAAAAGAUAGAACCAAUUACUGACUGCCUUUUUGCAGAACCGAAGAUUACAAUAUGAGAAAAACAAUAGCAAUGGAUGUAAUGAGAUUAUAUGAAAUUGUUAAAUGAUGAGGUCGCCAUGUAUGGAUAGAGGAUAAGAAAGAUCACUGUCAAUUCACCCAAUUCCUAUCUUGAGAAAGCAAUGAAGGAUGAGUAGGUACCGUGUCGUGUUUGAAAAGUAUUCCAAGCAGAGCAUUCAGCUGUGUGUUAAAAACUCCAUCACCAAUUCCCAGAACGGCUGAUAUAAGAAGCAGGUAUACGGUGCCGAGUGUUUCACUGGUUUGAAGAGUUGUAACAGGGCAUUGCAAGGUUUAAUCAGUACACUCGCCCCUCGUGGUAUUCAUUACAAAAUAAUUCUAAAUGUAAAAGGUUUUCCAAUGUUGCUAACCUCUGCCCCAGUAGAAGCCAAAUAAAAACAACAGCUUGAAUGACAGCCCCACCAGAUACUAAGAAAGUGAUUGAUGGAAGACCGGAUGUAAGACGACCAGCAACCAGUGAACACUGGAAAGACCAAAAAAAGAAAAUAAUUAACACUUGGAACUCGCUUUUUUUCUAUUAUCAAUAGCUUUGACUAAAGAUAAAUAGUUGAAAGUAACUUCCCUCUACUAACUUGGAAGAACAGCCACAAAUAAUAUGUGGAGAGUUUAAAGAACUUUCAACAAAUAGACAAAUACCAUCUAAAUCUACCUCUGCAAGUGCGAGCAUAAUGAAUAUUUCUAAUAGGCAUGGCAUAACAAUGAGCACUCUAUAUUUACAAUUAGUUGGGAAAGUUGAGCAUUAUUUUAGUUCAUGAAUUAGGACUCUUGAGAUAUAUUUUGGUUUGUGAAGGGAGAGUCCAAUGCCUCAAAACACUUAAUUUGUGGUUCAUCUUAAUUCAAUAUGGUUUAGUUUGGUUUAGAGUUCUUAUUGGCUAGUUGAAUGGAAAAACGAGGGAAACAAUAGGAAAUAAUUAGGCAUACUUACAACUGCAUCAGCAGCCCCAUAAACUGCCAUUGCACCACCGACCCCUGACACACCAAGUGAUGGUGUGACAACUUGUUUUGUGAACUUGGCCCUGUGUUUAAAACUCUACAAUGCUCAGUAAGGAAAAACACAGGCUACUGCAACAAAGAGCAUGCAAU
rnacentral:lncRNA from 1 species